ACAGCUGAAGAUGUUAAAGUAGCAUGAUCAUGACAUUAAAAAUAACUAAAAAAAUUAUUUAGAAUUUUUUGUUGAUCUCUAACAGAAAAACGAGAAAAACAGCCAGAGACACAAAACGCAUGGGCAUGGCUUGCUUAUCCUGCCACUCCAUGACCAAAACACUUUGAGUGUUUGUUUUUCUUCCCUCCAAUACCAACUCUCCAUCUCCACCAUCCAACACUGAUCCGAAGCCUCUUCCAGUUCCAGUUCCCACAACAACAGCAAGUACCAGAACCAAAAGCACCACUACUCUACCGUUACCGAGAAAGGAAACGAAUCCACAACAGACGAUAACAAAGAGCUCAACCUUAAGCACAUUGAAAGCGUCGUUGGUGCUGGCAGUUAUCGUGACUAUGAGAAGCCCAUUGACCAAGAGAAGAAAAGGAAGAAGUCUGGGUUCAUGGAGGAGGGAACAGUGGGAAGAAGCUCAGAGAGACUGGAGAGUGGGUUGCCACCAAAACUGAUGGAGGAUUUCGUUCCAAUAGUACCUUUUUUUUUCUUAUUAAAUUUAAAGUUCUUUUUAAUAUUUUAAGGUAUAUGAAAUGAGAGAACCUUGUCCUUUUAUGGGUUCUAUAUAUGUGAUUCUUGAUCCAGAUAAUUUGGGGUUUCAACUUUUUAAAUCAAGAAACGGGAUAUAAUUUGCCAUUGUUCAGAUGACAUUUAGAAGAAAUUCAUGUGCUUGCAGAUUGAGAGAGGAUUGGAUAGCUGUUUUCCGUUUUAAUUUGUUUUAUCUGGAAUUCGAACCAAUUGGCUGUCCUAUGUUUCACAGGAUUGAAGUCAGUUAUGAAGGUACUCUUCCUUCAGAAUUUUGAGUUUCGUAGCAGAAAAAUCAUUUUGAGGCUACUUAGCAUGAGCUUAAAUCACAACACAGCCUUUUUUCUUGGGCACCGCACCCUGAAAGAUUAAUAUUGGUGACUUGUGGGACUGGAAGAAAUGAAAAUGCCCAUGGAAUGAUUUACUUGAAUGCUCUAAGAACUCUGGGUACCUUUGUUACUCAUAAUGGAUUGGCUUGCAAAGAUGGAACCUUCUCAGGAUUACAGUUGAAAGCUUUUUGAGUCUGCAAAAUUGUUUCUUUUUACCAUUUUUUGUUGUUAGAGAAAUGAUAGAGCAUCAUGUCUAGUAAUUAGUUUGGCAUUUAGAUAGAUGGUUUGUAGAGUGAUACAAUAAAUAGGAAAGUAGAUUGGGAACUUGAUACUCAUUGUACAUGUUGGCCUGAACCAACAAAAUCACCCCUGGAAACUUAUGUUAGCUGAAGUGAUUAUGAACAGCCGAGUGCUUGAGCUUGCCAGUUGAAAAAUGGUGUAAGGUUUGUUGAAGUAAAUAGGUGUCGUCACCUGGAUUCAUUUUCAUUGCUUGUUCAUACUUUAUGAUCACUGGACCUGGUGUGAUCAACUUUAAGCUAGAUUCAUCAACUUCUGUUUCUCUUUCACCUUUUCAUUUCCAUUUUCACUCUUUUAGGGAUUUAACUAAAGUGCUUUCCUUGAUAAUUACACCAUGUGUUUCCCUUGCAUCUGAUCCUGUAGACCAUGGAGUCAACGGGAAAAAAAUAGUUAUAUGAAAAGCACAGCAUACUAAGAUAAAACUGUUCUUUUUAUUUUAUGUGAUCUUGCAGCAUAUGACAUUUUUCCUGGGAAACAAAUCUGUACUGUGGUGUCUUUUUUUUCACUCAGGUUCACUAGAAGCCAAGAAUCCGCCUUCUAUUUGCUAUUGAAUCAAUAACGUGAUUGACCAGAUGCUGGUUUGCGUUAUUCUUUUGCAGUUCGAGAGUGUUACCGAGCUGUACACAAACCUUCCAACUUGUGGGGUGACACCCUUCCUGCCAGUAUAGAUAUCAAUUUGAAGGGCCAAAAAAGCUUCACUGCAGAAGAAACAGUCUUGGCUCUCCUUAGGAACAAGAUGCUUACCUGGGGAAGAAUUGCUAGCCCGGCUUGGAUCUGGCACAUUAAGAAGGGUGUGAUGGCUAACUGGGAGCCUUACAUAGGAUUCCGAGAACUCCUUUAUAUCAUACACGUGGCUAAACUUGAUCAUGAACGUGAUUCUUGUUGCUUCCGAGAUCACUGUCCCCGGACACGAAAAAAGAUGUCAUGAUUAGCGCUUGAGUGUUGAGGCAUUAUCAUUGUCAUUAUUGAUUUUGUUUCUGAAGAAAACAUUAUUAAGAAAAGAAACCUCGUUAAGGUGAAAUUGAUUAUUUAGUGAAUAGAAAAACGUUGGGUUGCAUCUUA